GCAAGUCGAACGCGAACGAGUUCUUCGGAACUUUAGUAGAGUGGCGCACGGGUGAGUAACGCGUAAGUAAUCUACCCUCGCAUCUGGAAUAACUACGGGAAGCUGUAGCUAAUACCGGAUACGUUCAUAGAGUUACGACUCUAUGAAGAAAGAUGGCCUCUUCUUGAAAGCUAUCGUGCGGGGAGGAGCUUGCGUACCAUUAGCUAGUUGGUAGGGUAAUGGCCUACCAAGGCAACGAUGGUUAGCGGGUCUGAGAGGAUGAUC
rnacentral:rRNA from 1 species